UUGGCAUGGUUGGGAAGAAUUUGGGAAUAGUGUGACGGGUAGUCCGUAGUUCAAUGUGUGACCGUUGUGUGUGAUUGGGAGUGAGAGAAUAGACAAUUGCACUAACUGAAAACCCAAUCGGUCCUUUUCAGGGCCACCACGCAUUUGCAGUGAUACUAAAUAAAAUUCAAUUUUUUUUAAAAUAAAUCAAAUUCAACUCCCCAUUGUUUUAUUUUACAAAAUAUAAUUUGGAGACAUAAUAAUUAGGACUAAAAAUUAUCGGACCAAAGCUAAAAAUUAAAUUUCGGAUCCAAGAAAAAAAAAUAUUUUCAGGGCAACCUCGAAUUUCUGGUGAAAUUAAAUAAAAUUCUAAUUUUAAAAAAUCAAUGAAAUUCACCUCCCCAUUGUUUUAAUUUACAAAAUAUAAUUUGGAUAUAUAAUAAUUAGGACUAAAAAACUAUCUGACCCAAGCAAAAAACUGGCGGACACUGUUCGUACAACUGUAUAAGCAUGCGUGAUGCUAUAUUCCUUUUUUUUAUAGUAGCUCCUUUUUAUACAAUAGACCUCGCAAAUAUCGGUGUUUUCUUGUCAUUUUACUUGUCUAACCAACCAGCAAUUGUACCGCGGCAUACACAGUGCGCGGUGCGGCGGGAACCAAUCAUACUGGUUAUCGCGAAGACAACUUCCCAAUCAAUCAAGCGAACUUGUAAAAAAAA